GUCGGAUAGCUCAGCUGGU
rnacentral:tRNA from 1 species